rnacentral:rRNA from 1 species
UACGUAGGGGGCGAGCGUUGUCCGGAUUUAUUGGGCGUAAAGAGCUCGUAGGCGGUUCGAUAAGUCGGAUGUGAAAUCUCCACGCUCAACGUGGAGGGGCCAUUCGAUACUGUCGUGACUCGAGUCCGGUAGGGGAGUGUGGAAUUCCCGGUGUAGCGGUGAAAUGCGCAGAUAUCAGGAGGAACACCGGUGGCGAAGGCGGGUCUCUGGGCCGAUACUGACGCUGAGGAGCGAAAGCGUGGGGAGCGAACAGG